rnacentral:rRNA from 1 species
UACGGGGGGAGCAAGCGUUGUUCGGAUUUACUGGGCGUAAAGGGCGCGUAGGCGGUCGUGACAAGUCACUUGUGAAAUCUCCGGGCUUAACUCGGAACGGUCAAGUGAUACUGUCGGACUAGAGUACAGAAGGGGCAACUGGAAUUCUCGGUGUAGCGGUGAAAAUGCGUAGAUAUCAAGAGGAACACCAGUGGCGAAGGCGAGUCCCUGGACAAUACCUGACACUGAGGCACGAAAGCCGGGGGAGGCAAAACAGG